AGAUUCAAACACAACACUCAUGCGAUGAGGUUGCUAAAUAUGCUUUGGACUUUACGCUACAAUCUAAAUUGAGAGAUGGAAAAGAAGUGGCUCUCCACAGCUUGUCCUUGGGAGCUAGGCAAGAUGCAACUGUUCCAAUAGGCUCUAUAAAGAAUCUGGGAGGGGGCAGGGUGAUCUUUCCAUUCCCCAAACCAGGAAGAGCUUUGCUUCUCAGAACUGCUUGGCUGUUGUCUUGUGACUCCCUGAAUAUUUGAGGUUUCACAAGUGCAUCCAGGGAAAGCUCAAAAAGGAUUCACACCUACAAACAAAACAGAAGGGGCUUCAUCGCUAAAGAAGUGCCCACCUCCAAUGCUAAGAAACACAGUGACCAAGGUGGAAAACUCCAUCAAGGCUUCAGGACACACCGAUCUAUUGGCUUGUCAGCUCUCCCUGGACAACUCAGCACCACCCCUGUCCUUGAAAACAACGCAGACUCUCCUGAACCCUACUGUAUGUCAUGUACUCAAUCUCCCCCAGGCAGGUGACUCAAUCAUGUGUCAGGUAACAAAGAGAGAGUGGAUAAUCCUACGGUAACUAAAAACAUUUAGAGAGGACUCCUAUAGAGAGACAUAUUCCAAGUUAGCACACAGAGGGCAUCGUUACAUGAGCUGACAUCCCCUUCACCAUGAAAUGGGGGAUAGACUGAGAGGUACCCUCUUCAACCAGUAUGAAUAUUCCAUGUCCAUUAGCCACAGUGAACCCUUGCACAUGACUCCUAUGGCUUCAAACAGGACAGAAGGCAAGAGACCAGUCACUACAGAGACUCCUCAAAUUUUUCAAGAACUAGGUCAGAAUCUAUUAUAGUUCAGUAGUAGCUUAUUUAGCACGCUCAUCGUCUGGGAUUGAUACCUGCUACCACAUACAUGAGAAAAUAAGUAGCUACAACCUAAAAGAAUCUAUGAGAACCACCUCCAUCUAGGUAGGUAAACUAGGUAAACAUGUUCAUGUAAACACUGACCAGGGCUGGGGACAGGGACAAGGAUCCAGCUAAAUACUGACGCAUGAACCACUUUUUCCUUCCUUGCUGACUUCAUUACCAAUUCUAUUAAGACAGUUUGUCUAGAAUCCCCCUUACCCUUAAUGGUUUUGUUUCAUUAAGUUUCCAUCUCUGGGAUAGAUCCUGAUGCUUGGUUAUUAGUUCUCAUUUCUCCCUGUUGCUACCCACACCUCUUGUUAGAGUCCAGAGUAAAGUCUGUCUUAGUAA
rnacentral:lncRNA from 1 species